UUCAAGAUUAACUUCAAAAUAGAGUAGAAAUUUAGAUAUCAAAACAGCAUAUGGAUAAUGAUAAUCUCCUAACCUCAUGGCUUUUUGCAUGUGUUCUUUGAUGAUAUGGAUCCAAUUGAUUUUGAUUUUCUUGGUGAUGCAGAAGAUAUAUACCAGAUCUUCUUCAGUUAGCACAGAAUGAUUACUCCCCCUUGGAGUUAGAAUCCAAGUUACAAUGAGAGCAAGCAAUCUCUCAUCAAGCUUCAAAC
rnacentral:lncRNA from 1 species